rnacentral:rRNA from 1 species
UGGUGGAGCGAUUUGUCUGGUUAAUUCCGAUAACGAACGAGACUCUGGCCUACUAAAUAGUCCGCGGAUUCGCCCACCGUGGGAGGUCUGUGCCGUGACUUCUUAGGGGAACGAAGCGUCAACUAGGCGCGCGAGAUUGAGCAAUAACA